rnacentral:rRNA from 1 species
UCUCUCUGAAUCUGCGAACGGCUCCGCAUACCAGUUGUAAACCAUAGCAAGCCAACCUUGGGAAGACCCGAUCAAAAGGGAUGACCCUUGGUUGAAUAAGGAUACCCAUGGUAAUUCUGAGGCUAAUACAAGUAUAUACCGACUUGGUCAACCGGGAAACUGGAAGGCUGGGGGUCGUGUGAAGCUUAACUGCAACACCGACCUAGGAAACGAUGCACAAUCAGACCACCACACAAACGGUCUCGUUCUGAGGCAAGUACCUUCGGGGAAAGCCAAAGGGCUUGACUGGGUGGCUCUUGCUUUGUGCUUCUGACCUAUCAACUCGAUGGCAGCGUAAGGGACAUGCUAUGGUUACAACGGGUACAGAGGAUAAGGGUUCGAUCCUGGAGAGUGGGCCUGAGAGAUU